rnacentral:lncRNA from 1 species
UCAUAUUUCAUUAAUGUAAAAGUUGUAGAUGAAUAUUUAAGACAGAAAUCUUGGUUACCUUUGGAUCAGGGAAGAUUUCUCACCCAGGAUACAGAAAACAUUUAAAAAUUGGAAAACAAAUCUCAGAGUUAAAAACUUGCCUUUGGUAAAACACUAUUAUGAAAAUGAAAGUCAUAGACUGGGAAACAGUAUUUUCAGUAUAAAAAGCAUACAGAAGAUACUCAACGUCAUUAGGCAUCAGGGAAAUGCAAACUAAAACCACGCAUACCCACUAGAAUCGCUGAAGUUUAAGAAUAUGACAAUACAAAGUGUUGACAAGAAUGUGGAGAAACGGGAACUCUUAUACGUUGCUGGCAGUAAUUGAACAUGUUACUACCAUGGCCUUUUCUCAUAAAGCGACUUUAAUCAAUUCCUAGGCAUUUGUCCAAGAGAAAUGAAAACACAGGCCCCUAUAAAGACUUACACAUGCACAUUCAUAGAGCUCUUAUGAAUAAUAAUUUCCAAAGAACUAGAAACAACUGAAAUGUCCACCCAUAGGCAAAUUAAUAAAUUGCAACAUAUCCAUAUAAUGAAAUAUCAUUUUGCAACACAAAGGAAUAAAUUAGUGAUUCACGUGGGUGUAUUUUAAAAUACUGUAAGGAAAAGAAACCAGACACAAAAGAGAAACCGCUAUAUGAUUGCAUCUAUGUGAAAUAUUAGGAAAACCAAAUUUAAUCUAGAAAGCAGAUCUCGGGUUGUCUUGGCCAGGGGUGGUUGGUCCAGACAUAUGGGGAAG